UAGUAAACGUCGGGAAAGCAGUCAAUCUAAUAAAGCAGCUCAGACAAUUUCAGAGCACAUCCAAAACUCCUCCGUUUGAUAAAAAAUAAAUUUAAUAAAAAAAGUGGAAAACUAGGAUACAGUAUGGCAGAUACAGCACAAUAUCUAAACGACCGUUUCCAACGUUUCAGGAAUGGAAUCAGCCAGCGCUAUGAGCCGUAUGUGCGUCAGCACCUGGCAAAGGUAUACAUGGUGCUGGCUAGCACCACCGCUGCUACGGCAGUGGGAUCACUUGUCCAGAUGCGAGGAAUUCUUGAUUUGGGCAUGUUAGCAGCGAUUGCAUCACUCGUGCUGGUGCUGGGUCUACAUUUCUAUAAGGACGAUGGAAAGAACUAUUACACACGCUUGGGAAUGCUCUAUGGUUUUGGCUUUUGCUCGGGACAAACUCUGGGUCCCCUAUUGGGCUACAUUUGCAGCAUCAACCCGGCCAUUAUACUGACUGCAUUGACUGGCACCUUUGUGACUUUUGGUUCGUUAUCAUUGGCCGCUUUGCUUGCCGAACAGGGCAAAUACCUGUACUUGGGUGGUAUUUUGGUUAGCGUCAUUAACUGCAUGGCCCUUCUCAGUCUCUUCAACAUGAUCUUUAGAUCGUACUUCGUUCAAAUGACUCAAUUGUAUGUUGGCGUCUUUGUCAUGGCCGCUUUCAUUGUCUAUGACACACAAAACAUUGUGGAGAAAUGUCGCAUGGGCAAUCGCGAUGUGGUCCAGCAUGCAUUGGAUCUAUUCUUUGACGUUUUGAGCAUGUUCCGUCGGUUGUUGAUUAUUUUAACACAAAAGCUCAAAAGUUUUAUGGCUUGAUAACUCGCAAAUUAGUUUAAUAAUCAAGCAAACAUUGAAUAACCUUGAUCUAUCCACAUAUAGCAAACAAUUUCAUAGAUAAGAAAUUAAUCUAUUCAACGGAGGAACAAAAACAGGCCGAUCGUCGCAAGAGGAAGUAAUAAGGAACUUGCUCUUGUCACACACUACAAAUUAAUUAAUAAUGUUGGAACCUAUUUCAAAUUUCAAAAACAACGAGCCGUGUUAAUUUUUUUGGCUCUAUAUUAUAUAUCUCAAAAAAUAUUUGAUACACACAAAUCCCAAAAACUUCAAAAGACGUUUAAUAAAAUUCUCAUCACAUCCAACAAUA